GCGGAACGCCAGGCUGAGCUGUCUUCUCCCAGGAGUGACCGCGAGCCCUGGGAACCGCGGGCGCCAACCCAUCGAGUGCGCAUGUGCACAGCCCCGAGGGGCGUGGCCUCGCAUCUCCCACUGGCGGGCACCUGGGCAGGUGGGCUUUCUCCGUGCUGGGCCUGGGCCCCCGGGGUCCCGCGGAGGCUGAAGGCAGAGCGCACGCAGCUUCGCAAGCUCCUUUCACAGCUCACCUAGGGCUCCCGUGGCCGACCGGAAGGCAGGGCCCGGCCCAGCGCCAGGAGUGGGGGCGGGCUCUGCCGCUGUGUGCCAUGGCCCGGUCACAAGGCGACAUUGCUGUCGGAAGUGAAGAAAUGAAAUCAGAAUUUCCACGUGCCGCGGGAGGUAUCGGGAAACAAGCACCAGGACGAGAACUAGGACGAGACGUGGAGAGGAGAAAUACACGAGCCCUUUAGCGUGGUGCGGGCGCUGUCCUACCUGACGUAUUUUCAGAACGGCUCAGCGGACCUGGCAAGCAGCAUAUGGGAACCUUUGCAAUUUCGCUGUAGAUUUAAAAUUAUCCCAUAAUAAAA
rnacentral:lncRNA from 1 species